GACGAACGCUGGCGGCGUGCCUAAUACAUGCAAGUAGAACGCUGAAGGAGGAGCUUGCUUCUCCGGAUGAGUUGCGAACGGGUGAGUAACGCGUAGGUAACCUGCCUGGUAGCGGGGGAUAACUAUUGGAAACGAUAGCUAAUACCGCAUAACAGUAGAUAUCGCAUGAUAUCUGCUUGAAAGGUGCAAUUGCAUCACUACCAGAUGGACCUGCGUUGUAUUAGCUAGUUGGUGAGGUAACGGCUCACCAAGGCGACGAUACAUAGCCGACCUGAGAGGGUGAUCGGCCACACUGGGACUGAGACACGGCCCAGACUCCUACGGGAGGCAGCAGUAGGGAAUCUUCGGCAAAGGACGGAAGUCUGACCGAGCAACGCCGCGUGAGUGAAGAAGGUGUUCGGAUCGUAAAGCUCUGUUGUAAGAGAAGAACGAGUGUGAGAGUGGAAAGUUCACACUGUGACGGUAUCUUACCAGAAAGGGACGGCUAACUACGU
rnacentral:rRNA from 1 species